GAGAGCGGGGAAAGCAUGCCAGGAUACGCUGCUCAGCCCGGAGCAGGAAGGGGUGGGACCUGCCUUGUGGGUGGCCUCUCCAGACACACGGUUCUCCUGGUGCAGGAUGACAUCUCACUGCCUCUGUCUGGGCCUGAUACCCCUGGUUCUGCUCUGUUGCCUGCCUCUGGGUCAGGCAUAAGGCAGGAAACAGAACCUCCCACUCAGCACUCUGCCAGCUGGCACGCUGGGCUUCCAGCCCCCGUUCCUAACCCAGAGAGAGGGAGGAGGUUAAAGAGUUAACAUUUGCAGACCCGUAGGGAGGACACGGAUCUGACUGCGCGCCCGGACCCAUGCGGCCUGAGCAUCGUGCCCAAGGACCCGGCGGUGGCUUUCGGGGGUGACGUGGUUCUGAACUGCACCAGCACGUGCUCCAAUCACACCAGCCUGGGCUGGGAGACGUCGGUGCCGAAGGUGACGGGUCGGGGAGACAGAUGGGUGUCUCUGCACAUCUCCAACCUCACGGAUUGGAUCCUGGAGCCCCUGUGCUACAGCAACAACCCGCAGAUCAUCGAAAAAACCAGGCUCCACGUGUACCGAUUCUCACCCCCCAAGAUCCACCUGAGAGCCGAGAUGGUGGCCGGUCACCAGGAGCGAAUCACCUGCAACGUCUCCAGCCUUGUGUCCGGCUCCAGCCCCUCCGACAUCAACGUCACCCUGAGCAGCGGGAACAGCACCCUCAACGAGAACCGCGGCAGCCCGGCCGUGGGGUACAGCUUCGUGGUGCAGCCCACGCAGCACGGGCAGGAG
rnacentral:lncRNA from 1 species